GAUGAACGCUGGCGGCGUGCCUAACACAUGCAAGUCGAGCGGCAGCGAGGGGUGCUUGCACCCUGUCGGCGAGCGGCGGACGGCUGAGUAACGCGUGGGAACGUGCCCCAAAGUUAGGAAUAACUGCCCGAGAGGGUAGCUAAUACCGACUAUUAUCUUCGGAUCAAAGGAUUUAUCCGCUUUGGGAGCGGCUCGCGUCGGAUUAGGUAGUUGUUGAGGUAAUGGCUCACCAAGCCGACGAUCCGUAGCUGGUCUGAGAGGAUGACCAGCAAGACUGGAACUGGGACACGGUCCAGACACCGACGGGAGGCAGCAGUGAGGAAUCAUCCACAAUGGGCGAAAGCCUGAUGGAGCAACGCCGCGUGCAGGACGAAGGCCUUCGGGUUGUAAACUGCUUUUAUAAGUGAGGAAUAUGACGGUAACUUAUGAAUAAGGAUCGGCUAACUACGU
rnacentral:rRNA from 1 species